CAGUAGCCGCAGUAAUACAGAGGGUGCGAGCGUUAAUCGGAUUUACUGGGCGUAAAGCGUGCGUAGGCGGCUUCUUAAGUCGGAUGUGAAAUCCCUGAGCUUAACUUAGGAAUUGCAUUCGAUACUGGGAAGCUAGAGUAUGGGAGAGGAUGGUAGAAUUCCAGGUGUAGCGGUGAAAUGCGUAGAGAUCUGGAGGAAUACCGAUGGCGAAGGCAGCCAUCUGGCCUAAUACUGACGCUGAGGUACGAAAGCAUGGGGAGCAAACAGGAUUAGAUACCCCCGUAGUCCCUGUCUCUUAUAC
rnacentral:rRNA from 1 species